rnacentral:rRNA from 1 species
UACAGAGGCCACGAGCGUUAGGCGGAAUCACUGGGCUUAAAGCGUGUGUAGGUGGAUGGGUAAGUACCUUGUGAAAUCCCACGGCUCAACCGUGGAACUGCUUGGUAUACUGCCUGUCUUGAGGCACUCAGGGGCGAGCGGAACAAAUGGUGGAGCGGUGAAAUGCGUAGAUAUCAUUUGGAACGCCAAUGGUGAAGACAGCUCGCUGGGGGGUGUACUGACACUGAGACACGAAAGCCAGGGGAGCAAACGGG